GCCUAAGACAUGCAAGUCGAACGAGAUGGCCCAGUGAAGGUUGAGUGCUUGCACGAGACUGAAUCUGGAUUCCCAUCUAGUGGCAGACGGGUGAGUAACACGUGGGUGACCUACCUUUUCGUUGGGGAUAACAGUUGGAAACGAUUGCUAAUACCGAAUAAAUGUAAGAGUCAAUUUUACAUUGAAAGGAGCCUUUAAAGCUUCGCGAUUAGAUGGGCCUGCGGCGUAUUAACUAGUUGGUGAGGUAAUGGCUUACCAAGGUGACGAUGCGUAGCCGAACUGAGAGGUUGAUCGGCCACAUUGGGACUGAGACACGGCCCAAACUCCUACGGGAGACAGCAGUUAGGAAUAUUCGUCAAUGGAGGAAACUCUGAACGAGCAAUGCCGCGUGAGUGAUGAAGGUCUUAUAGAUUGUAAAACUCUGUUGUAUGGAAAAACGACUAGGUUAGGAAAUGAACUUGGUGUGAUGGUACCAUACCAGAAAGCCCCGGCUAACUACGUG
rnacentral:rRNA from 1 species